CUGUAUCCUUACAAAGUCCAUUUAGGAAAGGAUGAGAUCAGCAGUCAGGCAAAUGGAAGAAGAGUCUGAUAUUCAUGAAGCCAAUUCUGUAUGAACACUGGCAAGGAGGCCUGCUAAGAAAAUAUCCAAGACCAAGGUUGAAUUGAUCUGGACAGAUGGACACAGGGCUUCUAGUCAAUUUGAAGGUUGGGCUGAGGACCAGACAAGGCCUGGGAGUGCCUGCAUGGGCAGCAAACAAUAGAGAAGGGUGAUCUCCAGCAGCUGCUGAUUGUGCCGGAUCCAGCAGCUGCAGCCCACUAUUGUCAGCAUUACAUGCCUGAUUGCGACAGACAGCUCACCUACGUGUUGCACGCCCAGGAUCCCGAAGAGUAUGAGAUUCCAACUCGAGCUACACCUACAAAGGCAGCCACUGAGUCCUGGGAAGAGAAUCCUGGAGUUAUUACUGCAACCACUGUCGCAGUUGGCUUUAACCUCACAGACAACUAUGAGGACCUUUUUGGAGAACAGUACGAGAUUGGUGAGGACUCAGACCUGGAUGCCAAUGGCACUUACAGAGCAUACGAGGAGAGACUUGACUACAGAGACAGGGAAUAUGAGGACUACUAUGACCGAAGGGAUGCGAAUGAGGAAGAGCGGUAUGAUCCGGCUGAGCGCAGUGAAGACACCCUCCAGCUCCCCCCGGAAAAGAAUCUGAAAGGAGAGAAAGGGGAGCCAGCCAUCAUAGAGCCAGUGAGUAUGGUACAUGUUCUGUAGUGGCACUGGUGCUCCUCCAUCAGUAUGACUAGGGGCUGAAAGCCACUUGGUGAUGGGGUGGAAGGGGGUGGAAGAUACCAGCAAUAAGUUAUGGGAAGGUUUUUGGGUGUGUGGCAGGCUGUCAGUAGUAAAUAUGGGAGACAGU
rnacentral:lncRNA from 1 species